UACGGGGGGGGCAAGCGUUGUUCGGAAUUACUGGGCGUAAAGAGCUCGUAGGCGGCUUGUCGCGUCGAUUGUGAAAGCCCGGGGCUUAACCUCGGGUCUGCAGUCGAUACGGGCUGGCUAGAGUGUGGUAGGGGAGAUCGGAAUUCCUGGUGUAGCGGUGAAAUGCGCAGAUAUCAGGAGGAACACCGGUGGCGAAGGCGGAUCUCUGGGCCAUUACUGACGCUGAGGAGCGAAAGCGUGGGGAGCGAACAGG
rnacentral:rRNA from 1 species